rnacentral:rRNA from 1 species
ACAGAGGGUGCGAGCGUUGUUCGGAAUUAUUGGGCGUAAAGCGCUUGUAGGCGGCCUGUUAAGUUCCGUGUGAAAUCCCUCGGCUUAACCGGGGAACUGCGUCUGAUACUGGAUGGCUUGAGUGUGGGAGAGGGAUGCGGAAUUCCAGGUGUAGCGGUGAAAUGCGUAGAUAUCUGGAGGAACACCGGUGGCGAAGGCGGCAUCCUGGACCGAUACUGACGCUGAGGAGCGAAAGCCAGGGGAGCAAACGGGA